GCUCGUCCCCGGCCCUCCCGGGGAUGCGAACCGGGUGACUGGGGGGGACGGCUGAAAGUGCUUUCUGGUUGUUUUUGUUUUGUUUCGUUUUGAAGGCUGUGCCCGCCUCUAAGUCGGAGGUUCUUCAACUUCAGCACGCGUCAGCGUCCCUUGGAGAGGCUGUGCUAACUCAGUGCUGGGCCCCACCCCGGAGUUUCGGACUCAGUAGGUCUGGGGUGCGGCACAAAGUAUUUGUAGCAAGGGCCUGCUGAUGCUGGAUCCACCGCCUGGGGUCUUUCGGGUCCUCCCCAGGCCAGUGAGGAACGCCGUAAUUGCAUUUCAACUUGGGGACUUGUAAGGAGGCACCAGACACAGCUGGCCUGUCUUCCUCUUGGAACAACUCCAAGAUUUGGGGGAAGGAGACACUUUACAGGCGGGGACGGGCCCAGGGAGCAGGUCCUGCGGUGGCGUGGGCCCAGCGCUGUUCCACUCUCUUCUCUUUGAUGGAAUCGUUAAAAGUCCCCACCCCCGUGGCACGCGAAAUAUAUUGGAGGAGACCAAGAUUAACCAGAGAACUGUACAAGACAGUCAGCUCCUGUGGCAGGUGCCAAGAAGGCAGCUCCAGCCUGGUCGAGGAGGCCGGGAAAGCCUCUGGGAAGGAGUGGGAGUUAACAGUGGGGCUGCCGGAAGGAACGUUUCCGCCACACAGAGGUCUUGGGGAGGUGGAGGGGUGUGCAAGUGUAGGGAGCACAUGGCACCUCCUUCCAGGAUCCCUAAGGCAGCCUCUGACUAUUGUAGUUGGCCUGGGGCUAGCCGGGCCAGCACACGGUUUCCCUCUCCCUUUGUCACUGGUGUCCCACGCCUCCCCCCCAGCAGCCUCCAUCUCAGAGCAGGCCGACCCCACUCUCCUCCAGCACAGCUUCCAUCCGAUGGAGGAGGAACCCCCUCCCUGCCCAGGGAGUUCAGGACCGAGCAAGUGACCCAGCCAGUGAGGUGACACGGGGAGCUUCCUUUUUCCCAUGAGAAGAUGCCACAUUACUGUAGCGCCCAAAACAGUCACAGCCACCUUGCUGUGUCAGAGGUGACGCGAUUCCUGAGCGUGGGAGAUGGAGGGCCCUCAAGGUGACACAGGCUCGAGCAGCUGAGGUGAUGUUUCUCAGUGUGAAGGCUGCUGCCCUUUGGAGCAGGAUAACUCCCUGUUGUGACCGCCUGCAGCAAACAUUUCUAAGAUCUUUAACGUCCGAGAGCCCUCCCCUCAAGAUGCUGCUAGCAGCCCCAGGAAUCCUGAGGACUGAGGACCCCGUACCCCCGCUUGCAAACAUCCCAGCUAAGGGGGUGGUAGGAGAACCAUGGAGCUCAGUCUUUGGACCUCCUACCAAGAGGGCUGAAGAAAAAAUACAGCCUUCUGGUUCAGUCGGCACGACUGAGCUUUCUGCUGCUUGCAGACCGGCUUCGUAACAGGAAGGCAGCACUAUGAUAAUUCUGAAAGGAGGAGUCAGCUGAGCCUCCCAGAGGGAUGAGUCCGGGGCUCCCCGAGCAGAGGUGGGCAAGCGGUCCCAUUCAGGCGGAGCUCCCGCGCCUCCUCCCCGCCUGCUCCCCCUCCGGUCACACGGAGGCGACUCUGAACUUCACUGUUUGGAGUUUUCUCCUUCCCACCAACUUCCCCCAUAAAAACAAACCUAGUUGGUUUGUUCCGUGGGGGGAAAAUGAACAAACAAAA